AGGAUUCUAAAGGCAGGAAAGUGAUCCGCGCGCAGCGUCGUUUGGGAAAGAUCACGGUUAGCUUAGCGCCCUUUGUGGAGACACAAUCGCCGGCAAUGUGGGAGGAUUUAUCUGGAAAAUUGCUUGGCAAGCAGGAUUUGAUCUUGGACAGUCAAGCCUAGAUGACAACAGGAGACACACCGGUGAGCCGCUCUGGAGAUUGCCAAAGAUACUGUUUUUAAGACGGAAAGGUUCCAGCCCCGACCAUCCGUUGGUGAGGUUAGUUCUUUCUGCUUCUACUUUUGGUGCAAAACCUGCAGGGAAACUUCCAACCCAUCUAGCGCCUGCCACCUAGUGGCCAGAGCCCGUCAGGACAUGGGUUCAAAUGGACAGCCUGGAGUCAAGCCCGCAGGAAAGCUGCUAUCACUAGCUGCUAUCCCUGGGCGACCAGAGCAAGGACUCGCCUUCCUCUGCAGGGGCCAGAGUCACCUUCCACCACGCUACUCCGGAGCUUUGCAACGGCGGACUUUGCCACGGCGUGGAGGAAUCUCAACUGCGGAACACUUGUCGGAAUGACUGCGGAGCUUUUGAUGACCCCUGUAUGUUCUCCCUUCCUCCAACUACCCACUUCCAUUCCUUCCUUUCUCUUCAGUUCCCACCGUUUGAACUCCGCGCUCUGAGCUCUGGGUGUCAGUCUCUCCCCUUGGGCAUACUCACAGAUGGUUGCUGGGCAGCUGCCACGUGAUUGGAAGCCAGCAUUAGCCACUCAGCAGUCUCCUGGGAGCAUGCUGCUUGGGAGGCUGGUCCUGGGCUGUCAGGGAUGACACCUUUCCUACUCUGGUGAGCUUGCAAUCCAGCCGUGGAGCAGCAGGUGAUGGUUGUAAGACUCAGGAGCCAUUAACUCACAGUGAACCCUUGUCUGCCUCAAUUUCUCUGCCAGGAACCUGAGAUAAUAGACCCCUGCAUGCGACACAGUGUUGUUUAUGGGAAGCCCCUUGGUGUGUGUGUGUGUGUGUGUGUGUGUGUGUGUUAUGUGUGUACAUUAAUAGCUCCAUUCAGUGGCUUUACAUAGCAGGUCUGGUGGACUUAACCCAGGCCUCUGCCAUCCCUAAGCCCCGCCCAGCAAACCUGCAGAAGAAUGGAUGCCUGGUUGGUGGCCUGCCUGUAAGUUGGGUGGAAGGGGUAGAGACCAUUCAGUGGGCAGAGGCAGCAGGAGCCUCAGUUACAGAUGAGAAGGAUUUGAAGUAAGAGCUCUUCCUGGUGGCAUAGGCUUUCAUCCCAGCUCUUUGCCAAGCUGAGCUGAAGCACUGAAAGGAGCACAGAAAGUUCAAGGCUGGACUGGAAUACAGAGGGAGGUUCAAUGCCAGCCUGGGUAACUCAGUGAAACACGGUCUCGAAAAGUAAAAAAGAGCCAGGUGGUGAUGGUGUGCACCUUUAAACCCAGUACUCAGGAGGCAAAUGCAGGUGGAGCAGAGGGAGUUCCAGGAUAGCCAGAGCUAGAGAGAGAGAGAGAGAGAGAGAGAGAGAGAGAGAGAGAGAGAGAGAGAGAGAGAGAGAGAGAGAGAGAGACCCUGUCUCAAUAUACAAACAAACAAAAAACAAAACAAAACAAAAAACCCCAAAACAAACACACAAAGGCUCUGGCUUGGGGUAUAACUCAUCAAGGGAAAGUGUACUUAGAAGCCCCCUGCCUAGAAUCCCCCAGUGAGGGGCUGGGGUGUGACUCAGUGGUAGAGGCCCUGCCUAGAAUCCCCCAGUGAGGGGCUGGGGUGUGGCUCAGUGGUAGAGCACCUGCCUAGAAUCCCCCAGUGAGGGGCUGGGGUGUGACCCAAUGAUACAGCGCUCUUCUAGCAUGCUUGAGAAUCUGUGUGUGUACCUCAGGCACCUGCUCCUGCCACAGCUCCCUCCCGUCUCUAUCCCUUGCACUUGAAGAUGUCUAAGGAAAACAUUUUUUUCCAGAUACUCUUAUCAGUUAGAGAAAGGGUGAGACCCAAUGUCCCAGGCAUCUUCUUUGCCCCCUGGCAAAAGAGUUCUCUGACUCUUUACUUUAGCGACUGAAUUUGUAAGUGAGAAUCGACCUCCCAAAUUAAGUCUCUAAUUCCCAAGUAAGCCGAGCAGCUAUUUUUCUUGCAAAUCUUGUGUGAACAUAAUUUAAUAGAAGGAACAAGCUAAUAAAAUAAGCCCAUAUAUUACAGCCUUGGCACAAUAAAGAAAACAGACGAUGGAAGAGACGAAUGGGCAGUGCCUUUCAGCCCAGGGAGAAAGAAAAGAACACAGAAAUAAGAUGUUAAUAAGACGUGGUAACGCUUCAAAGAAGCUUUGCCUACUUGAGUCGAACUUCUUUAUUACCGUUGUGGUGGUGGCUGUUGUUUUACCUUGAGACUAGAUUUCCCUAAGUUUCCAG